GUUUAACUCCUUUUAGGUACCACAUGCCUGUGGUAGUAAGGAAAAAGGGGGGUGGACCUGUGGAAGUUUUCCUGGGGGUCCUCUAUUGCCUGUUUAACUCUUUUAGGAGCCACAUGGCUGUGGCUGUAAGGAAAAAGAGUAGGGGGAAUCUGUGGAGGAUGAUGUAGACUCAUUGCUUCCUGGGGGUUCCCCAGAGUGUCAUUUUGACCGCUUAGCUUCUUGGUAAAAUUCCAGUCUCAAGCGCUGAGGCAGGUAAGAUUCCAAUUCUUUAGGCUAUACAGGAUUCGGGUUGGAAGCUGUUGCUGUUUCCUGUGGCUGCUGGUAGUGAGACUUGCGGGUGGGUCCGCAACAGGGACACUACGAGGUUGAGGGAGGUGGCUUUUGGCCACACGAGUAAAGGCAAGGGAUAAAACUGUUGAACUUAUUUGAACUGUGAUGCAUGCAC